UCCCUAUCAGAAUACCUUGUAUAUCUCUUAUAUAUUGAUUCUUUAUUUAAUUAAACUAAGGAAUCUAGCAUUCAUCUUAAUAUUUGUUACUGCUUUGUCUAUCACAAUAUUAAAUUCAGAUUAUUCAACCUCCUUUUUCACCUUUCCUUUUUUACCCUAUCUAAAACCUAAUAAUCUAAAUAAACUGAAGGAGUAGCAUCACCA
rnacentral:lncRNA from 1 species